rnacentral:tRNA from 2 species
CGGGACGUAGCGCAGCCUGGUAGCGCGCCUCGUUCGGGACGAGGAGGUCGGAGGUUCAAAUCCUCUCGUCCCGACUA